CAGGCAGCGCUCAACACGGACGAGCCGAUUGGUCGGUGCUAUAGCGGACUCGGGACUGACGCGUCAGAUUGGAACGAAAAGAACCGUGCCGAGGAGCGGCGGGAGGGAAUUUCAGGAGCGUACUCCUGCGCUAUAUACGCUACGUUUCCCCGUUUCACGUUUCAGUCUCAACAAAAUUGUUCAGUAUUCUACGUUACAUACUGGCUUUUACUUCUAUCCUACUAGAUUAAUAUAAGAAAAUUAUUUUUACUUAUAAUUUAUAGUAAUUAAAAGUCGAUAAAUGUCGA